rnacentral:rRNA from 1 species
GUGGGGAAUCUUGCGCAAUGGGCGAAAGCCUGACGCAGCCAUGCCGCGUGAAUGAUGAAGGUCUUAGGAUUGUAAAAUUCUUUCACCGGGGACGAUAAUGACGGUACCCGGAGAAGAAGCUCCGGCUAACUUCGUGCCAGCAGCCGCGGUAAUACGAAGGGGGCUAGCGUUGCUCGGAAUUACUGGGCGUAAAGGGCGCGUAGGCGGACAGCUUAGUCAGAGGUGAAAGCCCAGGGCUCAACCUUGGAAUUGCCUUUGAUACUGGCUGUCUUGAGUUUGGGAGAGGUGAGUGGAACUCCGAGUGUAGAGGUGAAAUUCGUAGAUAUUCGGAAGAACACCAGUGGCGAAGGCGACUCACUGGCCCAAUACUGACGCUGAGACGCGAAAGCGUGGGGAGCAAACAGGAUUAGAUACCCCAGUAGUCC